GCCCCGUCCGCCCUCCUCUCCCGUGACCCUCCAGCCUCUCCCGCCGCGAGCCUCCAUCCUUCCCUUCCCUCACCAGAUCUCGUGUCUGGGUUUUCGUGGUUCGAUGGAUUCCCUGAUUACUCGCCGCCGCUGCUUACUCUAUUGUGGUUUUCAAGGGAGGAGUUCGUGGAUAGCUUGGAGCAGUCUAAUCUGGAAACUCUAGGAUUCCUCCGUCCGUCCAUGGCCGUUGAGCUGCAUUGCUUCCGACGCCGUUGCCACCGCCCCGUCGCCAUCGACCCAAGGCCACCCCUGCUCCCGACGGUGCUCCUCUCUGCCUUGCUCCCUUAUACAUGAAGGUUGCUUGCCGGUGUCGUCUUUCGCCUGUACUGGUCGGCGGCAUCGGCUUCUCCGGCACCAAAAAGUCCAUGGCCCCUUGGUUCUGCACGAGAUCUCUAGUCCGGCAGCCUCUACUAGACACCAGGGGUGCUUUUGGACGAGGGACACACCCAAGUUUAGUAUUGUCUAAAUAGGUUCUUUUGGACGAGGGACACACCCACGUACAAUAGGUUUGAUUGCAUCUCCAACAGAAAAUACUGAUCAGGUGCAUGUUUAGGAGGUUGGCGUACACACAUAUUUAGGCCAAUCGAGCGUGCAUUCGACGUGUGCAUCUCGGCAGCCAGAAGAAAUCAAUCUUUUUACCUGCAUAUACCAUCAUUUUCUUCUUGCAGGCGGCAAUGACAGGAGCAUAUUGUGUAGAGGAAGAGGAUGAACCUUAAUGCGUUGAACCUUAUAUACUAGAACCUUGCAGGUGUUUUUGCAGAAGUAUUCUACUAUGCACGUGUAAAAUUUAUUUUGAUGUGCUCUUGUUAGGCAUUGAACCUUAAUGCAUGGAGUCAGUGGAUGAUGUAUUGUAUUUGAUUUGAUAUGCUACUGAAAUGAAAUAUACAUUUUAUUUGCAA